UCCAGAGUGUCAUGCACACAGAAGAGCCAUGGAAUUCGAAGACGUGAAUAACAGCACGAGCAUCGUACCAUUGCCCAAUACGUGCGAUGUUUAUAUCUACACUCGUCUCAUAGAUUCUUCUUCCCACGCAGAACGGCGUUCACCACAAUCCUGGUUUUCGUCUUUCUCUGCGUCGUGCUCAGCGUCGUCGGCUUCGUGCUCUUUGGCCUGUGACUGCCUUAGCCAUUGGGCUCUUUACUUCAUCUAUCGUGAUAAGACCGCGGUGAGAUGCGAAGGCACGGCGGACGCCGAGACCAAAAAACUGACUGGGUCUACGGCACUGUUCACUUACGACGAUCUGAAGGAACGAGGGGGCAAUUGGUAUCCGGUGAAAAGGAAUGCUGAUAUCGCAAAGGAACGUAUAUGGAAGGUGAUGGAGAAGAUGAACAGUCACAGUGCACCCAAAGGACACGCCAGGCAGUCUACUGGAAUGUGCCCCGCUUGCGUACUAAUUUCGGUACACAAUUGAUACAGUAUAAUAUUGCAACAAUCCUUAAGAAGUACAUCAAGAACGGUAUCGAUCUUGCGAAUACAUCAUUUACAACUCUAGGAGCCAUGUUUGAAUUCUGACAACUUGCAAUUUCUCUAGCGACUAAUAUUUUGUUACUAUGCCUUGCAUCAGAGUCAUCUCUGUAACCUCUAUUUCUGAUUACUUUCGUUACAUUUAUCCGGUUUUUGUUUUGUUAUGUCUGUUACUGUGAAUACACAUUCAUGCACUGCUAGCGAUUUGUUUUGCGAUUUGCUUUGUUAUAGCUAGUUGUACAAUUGUUGCGAUGCUGCUGUACGUUAUUAAAGGGGCGUGCCCUCGUCAAGCUGCAGUAUUGCCGCUUUUUGGCCGCCCCCCUACACAACUGAUGUAACAUGUUGUGUCUAUAAUAAAGAAAGAAAGAA